UCGUCACCUCCCUCACUGACUCUGAGCUUGGCCAUGCGUCUAACCUUGGUCAACGGAACAUCAGCCAACGUCUAACCUCGGCCAACGGAACAUCAGCCAUGCGUCCAACCUUGGCCAACGGAACAAGUGAAGGUGAAGAAACUAAGAAUCAGAGGAGUUCUAACUGAGCCAUGAGGACUCGAUUCCUGAAAACCUUAUUUAUAAAAAACAGGAAUGGGAACUAAAACAAGGCAACCUGUGCAAGCCCUUACAAGUUUUUCAUGUAUUACAGUAAAAGGUAAAGCAACUUAAAAACCACUUGACAUUUUUUAACAUUUGUAAAAUUUUGUAAUGCACAGUUGUCUCUCAUUUACCAUCCCUUGCUAGAAACUUCUUAGGCUCACCCUUCACUGCAUUUCCAACAUUAUUUUGCUGAUAAUGUAUACGCCCAAGUGACAUGUUUUCAUUUGGCUUAACUUUCAAUGCCUUUUUGAUUUUAUGAUCUAGUCCUUUAUUGCUGGACCCUUGAAUUGUAUCUAGUCUUCUGCUAUUACAAAAAAUGCUGAAUCAAAUAAACCUGAACAUGUAACAUCA
rnacentral:lncRNA from 1 species